rnacentral:miRNA from 1 species
UGAAACAACUAUCUUGGCCUUCUC